AUCUCAGCCUGGAUGGUCGUUAAG
rnacentral:piRNA from 1 species